UGUGCUCCUAGUGAAGAUGGCAUGACAAGUUCACCUUCAUUGGUUGAAGCACACGCAAGCUCAGAAGUAAUAGCUGAGGGAAUGGACGGCCUGGUUCUUGGUAAGAGUACAAGGACACCUGGAAGGAAGAAAACUAAAACCCCAUCAAAGAUGUUGGAGCAAGAGGAAGAUAACAGUAUGCUGUCAUCUUGCAUAUGUGAUUCCAUUGCCAAGCAGCUCGAGGAUGUAGUUUUCGAAGAGAGAAAAGGCAGUCAGAAAAUUAAAGUGAGUAGAGCAUCAUCAAGAGCACAGAAGGGUAAGUCUAGAACCAUGCCUGCUGAAAGUGAUGGUCGUGAGGUGGACUUUACGAGUACCAUCAUUAUUGGGGAUGCUUCGACAAACUUGGAGGAAAGCGGACGGGAUGGGACAGGACGAUCCCUCAAAUAAGGUUGUUUGGUUCAGGGUUAGGGGUUGGGACAGGACUAUCCCAGUGUUGUCCCCAGUUAUCCCUCAAAAUUGGAGGGACAAGAGAGGACGCCUGAGGACGUCCCUGUCCUGGCUGUCCCGCAACCAAACGCACCCUUAGUCUUCAGCAAAAGAUUCAACACAAACUUAUGCUGAACAACUGUGUGAAGAAUUCAGUGAAGCAGUGAACAUUGGAAAUUACAAGACAAGUGAUGAAAAGAUGAGACCUGCAUGGAAGUCAUCGUUGAAAAAGUUGCUGGGUCUAAGAGCGGUAGACGGACUGUUACAUGGGCAGAUGAGAAUGGAACUGUCCUAGAAACUAGCAAAGCAUAUGAAAGCCCUUCUAGUAGCAUAAAACAACCUGAGGAAGGCAUAGACAGUUCACCAAGGUUCGCAUCUGCAGAGGCAUGUGCUGCAGCACUUAUUAAGGCAGCAGAAGCUAUUUCUUCAGGCACGGCAGAAGCAGAAGAUUUUCAAAGGCUGGAAUCAUUAUUCUGCCUGACAUGCUUAGCCAGAAAGAAUAUGACAAUUGCAAAAACACUGGCGGAGAUGUUGACCCAGUGGCCUAAGAAACCUGUACUUCUGGAUACAGACAUGUUUUAAGUUGAUGACUCUUGGCAUGACACACCUCCAGAAGGUUUUAGUGUAACUGUAAGUAAUAUUAAGAAGGGAAAAGAGAGAGAGAGAGAGAGAGAGAGAGAGAGAGAGAGAGAGAGAGAGAUAGAGAGAUACCAGUUUUCUUCGUUUAAUUCAGUCUCAGCACGAUGUACGAUUCUUUUCAGCUGUCUGCUUUCCGAACAAUCUGGGCUGCACUAUUCGGAUGGAUAUCCAAGUCGUCUUUGGCCUAUGUGUAUGGGCUUGAAAGGGGUUGUUAAAUGGAAGAGUUGUGGAUUGCCAAUGGGAAGGAAUAUAUCUGAGAAGACAGUUCUGAAGGAUGGGCUCUCGUCUGAGAUUAGAAGAACUCUAGAUUCCUGUGUUUGUAAUGCCGUGGCAGUUCUCAUAUCAAACUUGAGGUUGCAGAUACGGUCUCAAAAUUGGAGAUUAGUCUGGUAUGUGUCAGCUUUACCAAGCAGAUAAUAUCAUACCUGUAUAUAUAAACAAUAAGACUGCUAGGCUAGCUUGACGCUGGUGGCUGGCAGUUAUAUUGGCCUUAACACAUGAAACUACACGGCGUGUGUGCUUGCUUUUGGAUUAUAUCUAAUAACGUGAGCCUUGCUUCGCCACACCAGGGCUACUUGAUUGACACACUGUCGUUCGUAGACGCCCUGCCUUCUCUGCGAUCACGGCAGUGGCAGGCUGUGGUUCUGGUAAUGCUUAAUGCGCUCUCUGUUCGCCAGCUUCCUGCCCUUGCUCCGGUCUUUCCAAAUCCAAAGCUCGUGCAAAAGGUGAGUAACCAAUUUUACUUUCCACUGAAGAUUUUUAGUGCUUAGGAUUUUUAGUCCAUGGUGGACCUGUUUCUCCCUUUUGGACGAACUGUGCUGGCAACCACGCCGACGUAGCCCAAAACGAGAAGCCGUGUGAAUCGGUGUUCUGAAAGCUGCGUGAAUCGCCUGCCGCUGUUCGUAGGAUCUGGUCUGAUAUUUGGCUGAACGGACACAUUAAAUAUGCAAGUCGCUGUCUAGCACGAGUCAUGGUUAUCUAUUCAACAAACUGCGCUCCUGCACAUUUCAGUGAAUCUGAUUUAUGCCAUGUUCGCUGCGGCUCGCUGCGGCUUUAAUCCGACUGCGGCUGCGGCUUCUACAGUAUUUUAUCUCUAGGGAUUGCAGCUGCAACAGUAUUUUGCAGCUGCAACAGUGCUCCCAAAAGGGCAGCCGAACGCGCUCUUACUCCUCUACCUGCGACCCUGCUGAUGCCUGCGUGUCUGCUUGCGAAGAGUUUCCGUAGGCUGUGAGAACAGGCAAUCUUUGAUGCUGUCAUUCUCAGCAAAAGAUGACUUGCACGGAUGUUUGGUGGCGGCAAUUUCACAAGCCUUGGGACCUGAACUAUUAUCUCCAUUCCUGUUUAUUGAUGCGCAUAUACCCCAUACUGUAAGACAGACAUAGCUUUUGCUCUAUAUUUAGAUAUAUAAUAAUAUAGUUGUUGUAUAUCUCUGUUCUUGAAUAUUUGUCAUCCGUUAAUUCAUGUUUGAACUAAACCGUAACAAAAAAAAAAGACAGAGAGGAGUGUUAUUCAGACAUU